GAAAGUGAAGAUUUUCUGUCACCUGCCUGAUGGCUCUCUGGGAACUUGUGACCUCUUGGGUCCAAACCUGAGAAGGGGGAGUUUUUCCAGCCAUCUGAAUUUAUCAAUCCCACCUGGCAGUGCCUCCUGCCCAAGUGUCAAGACAGAAAAUAGCAGCAAGGGCAUGAGGGAGAAAUGAGUGGAGUCACCAGAAAGCCUGGGAGAUGUGAAGGCAACUGGAGAUAACUGCAAGGCUGUACAUUUUUGUUAGUUUAUAGCCAUUUGUGGGAUGCAUGCCCUGGACUGAAGGAAAUCACUUUUGCCAAGUGGUUUGGGUCAGUGAGAGGCUUUUCCUGAAUUCGGUGAUCCUUCGAUCUGUUCCCUGCUUUAUGGCCAAAGAGAGCUGAGUAAAUCCUGAUGACAACAGACAUCUGACUGAGAUAAAAUCUUCCACGUGGGUUUUGAUCAAACAGUGAAAGGGAGUUGAGAAACCAAGCCAAGCACUGGAGAUGAAGACUGAGAGCUGCAUUAACCCACUGGCAAGAGAUGCUGUCUGAAUAGGAGUCGUAAUUUUUUGCAUCUGAAAUUUAUUUGAACUUUUAACAGGGAGUCUCCACUCUCCUGGACAUGCAGUUUGGGACUGCAUUUCUUCACUUUCAGAUUGAGGUGCUCAAGUUUCAGGACCCAGAGAUUACAUGUAAAGGCACUUAAUUGCUUCAAAUUCAUUUAAAAAAUCUGCUCAAUUUUUGCUUAGAAAGUGCUCUUCAUCUGUAACAACAUGAAAAGGAAAGUAAGAUUUAUUGUCCAAAAAACAAUCCGCAAGGUAAAAAAAAUAAUAACGUGGCAACUUGUGAUUCCUUAAUACAUAGAUCAGAUGGAGGAAAUGUUAAUGAUGGUAUGAAUAUCAAGUUUUCCCCGUGCCAAAGUCAAGGUGGAAAAGUCAUCCAAAAAGCCUGUGCAGAUGUUCACCAUGUGGUCACAUGUCUUUUUUUUUGUGGUCUGGUGAACAGAUCAAUAUAUGCAACAAAGGCAUUGACAUCUCAUUAAUUCUGAAAGUACUGAUAUGGUGUCAGUGCCUUAGUUACAGAUAUUGAAGAGGAUAUAUUAAGGUUAUUUGUGUCUCUUGGAGUGUUAUUUUCUACUUUCAGGAAGACAUGGUGGGUUUAGGGUAUAUCUAUGCUGGUAUUUGCUUAUGUGUAAGCUUCUGAGUUACACUUUUGUCCAAUUUCCAUUUUGUAAAAAAGCUUUGCUUAGAUUCAAAAAUUAUAGUGCUAUUCUGAGAUGAGUUGGGUCUUCUUAAAUCUGGGAUAUUUUCUGAUUUUGGUAACCUCUCUGUCUGGCAGGCUUUGAGCUACAGGCUGGCUGAGGGAUGCACUUUCACCUGUGCACAUACACAAAGGACGAUUUUCUUUUACAUUUUCCACUCUAAAAUUCCAGAUUAUUCAGCGUAGCUUGUGAGGCUCAGGCCAUCUCUUGGCUGUGUACAAAGUAUGUGGAGGAUGAGAAAGUACAUUCAGUUUCACCUGGGUUCUCUGAAUUGUGCAGUCCUUGUGCAGUGGCAGUGUGUGACUCCUGCAGACCCUUUUACUGGUGCAAAAUCAGAUUGCAUCAUUAACAAUUAAACAGAGGAUGCCCUUUUUUUUUUGUGUCUGUGACAUUCCACUUGCACAAUUUCUUCUCUCAGUUUAUGAAUCCUUGUAUAUUUUUUAUUCUGUGUACUGCUCUGUGGAGUAGUGUGCAGAUGUGUCUCUAUCAUGGUGCAAUUUGCUUGUGCUGUGUUGUAUGGGCCAAGAAAUGUGCUGUGUUCAAGGCCUUGAACUUGAAACACAUUUGAAGGGUCUGAUUUUGCAUGAUGUGUGAAAAUCAGAUCCCUGUUAAGUUCCACAUGUUAGAUGUCUAAAGAGGAGUUCAUGCAGAAUCAGUGGCCACUCACAAAUCUUUCUCCUUACCAGAUCUCCUCAAUUAGGAGGAGACGCCGUAAGAGACAAAUUAUGGGGUUUGUAUAAGUUAUUUUCUUUUAUUAGAGCGUUGCUGCUCUGAGUAUUUGGGAAGGGUUGUUUCUUCUGAUGCUCUUUGGUAUUGGGACUCCAACACAAAUAACCAGCUUCUGCCACCAUCAGGGUUUUCUUCUGAACAUUGUUCUGUCUGACACUACACAGUUUUUCAAAGGAAAUUCUUGUAAACCUUUGAAACACCAAAGUCUGAUUGCUUUGAAAUUUUAACAGUGUCAAA